rnacentral:rRNA from 1 species
AGCGGCGAGUGAGCGGCAAAAGCUCAAAUUUGAAAUCUGGCGUCUUUGGCGUCCGAGUUGUAAUUUGAAGAAGGUAUCUUUGGGCCCGGCUCUUGUCUAUGUUCCUUGGAACAGGACGUCACAGAGGGUGAGAAUCCCGUGCGAUGAGAUGACCCGGGUCUGUGUAAAGUUCCUUCGACGAGUCGAGUUGUUUGGGAAUGCAGCUCUAAGUGGGUGGUAAAUUCCAUCUAAAGCUAAAUAUUGGCGAGAGACCGAUAGCGAACAAGUACAGUGAUGGAAAGAUGAAAAGAACUUUGAAAAGAGAGUGAAAAAGUACGUGAAAUUGUUGAAAGGGAAGGGCUUGAGAUCAGACUUGGUAUUUUGCAUGUUGCUCUCUCGGGGGCGGCCGCUGCGGUUUACCGGGCCAGCAUCGGUUUGGAGCGGCAGGAUAAUGGCGGAGGAAUGUGGCACGGCUUCUGCUGUGUGUUAUAGCCUCUGACGAUACUGCCAGCCUAGACCGAGGACUGCGGUUUUUACCUAGGAUGUUGGCAUAAUGAUCUUAAGUCGCCCGUCUU